GCGGGUCUGGCCGAGUGGUCAGGCUGCAGCCUUCCAAGCUGCCCACGUGGGUUCGAUUCCCAUGGCCCGCUCCA
rnacentral:tRNA from 1 species